UACGUAGGGUGCAAGCGUUGUCCGGAAUUAUGGGGCGUAAAGAGCUCGUGGGCGGUUUGUCGCGUCUGCUGUGAAAACCCGAGGCUCAACCUCGGGCCUGCAGUGGGUACGGGCAGACUAGAGUGCGGUAGGGGAGAUUGGAAUUCCUGGUGUAGCGGUGGAAUGCGCAGAUAUCAGGAGGAACACCAAUGGCGAAGGCAGAUCUCUGGGCCGUAACCGACGCUGAGGAGCGAAAGCAUGGGGAGCGAACAGG
rnacentral:rRNA from 1 species